AUUGAACGCUGGCGGCAUGCCUUACACAUGCAAGUCGAACGGCAGCACGGGGCAACCUGGUGGCGAGUGGCGAACGGGUGAGUAAUGCAUCGGAACGUACCUUUCAGUGGGGGAUAACGUAGCGAAAGUUACGCUAAUACCGCAUAUUCUGUGAGCAGGCACGCAGGGGAUCGCAAGACCUUGCGCUGAUGGUGCGGCCGAUGUCAGAUUAGCUAGUUGGUGAGGUAAAGGCUCACCAAGGCGACGAUCUGUAGCGGGUCUGAGAGGAUGAUCCGCCACACUGGAACUGAGACGCGGUCCAGACUCCUACGGGAGGCAGCAGUGGGGAAUUUUGGACAAUGGGGGCAACCCUGAUCCAGCCAUGCCUCGUGAGUGAAGAAGGCCUUCGGGUUGUAAAGCUCUUUCGGCCGGGAAGAAAUCGCACGGGCUAAUACCCUGUGUGGAUGACGGUACCGGAAUAAGAAGCACCGGCUAACUACGUGCCAGCAGCCGCGGUAAUAC
rnacentral:rRNA from 1 species